CAGCAGCCGCGGGAAUACGGAGGGUGCAAGCGUUAUCUGGAUUUAUUGGGUUUAAAGGGUCCGUAGGCGGAUCUGUAAGUCAGUGGUGAAAUCUCACAGCUUAACUGUGAAACUGCCAUUGAUACUGCAGGUCUUGAGUAAAUUUGAAGUGGCUGGAAUAAGUAGUGUAGCGGUGAAAUGCAUAGAUAUUACUUAGAACACCAAUUGCGAAGGCAGGUCACUAAGAUUUAACUGACGCUGAUGGACGAAAGCGUGGGGAGCGAACAGGAUUAGAUACCCGCGUAGUCCCUGUCUCUUAUAC
rnacentral:rRNA from 1 species